rnacentral:tRNA from 1 species
GCGCCCGUAGCUCAGCUGGAUAGAGCGUCAGCCUCCGAAGUUGAAGGCCACAAGUUCGAAUCUUGUCGGGCGCACCA